GUCGUAUUCGAGGUACGGAUAAUGUGGAACCAGAGUUCAACGAUCUGCUUGAAGCUAGUAGACUUGCUAAAGAAGUUAAACAUCCUUUUAGAAACCUACUUCAACGUAGAAAUCGUCCUCAGCUCGUUAUCGCCGUCGCUUUACAGGUUAGUAUUAUCACUUUUUUGUUCAUUUGAAGUCUAUUUGAUCUUGAAAUUGUUAGAGCUCUUAAUUAAGGAUCAAGUAACCCUAACUUGUUUCUCAAGUUUCAUAAAUUUUUGAUCCCAUUGUGUUCAAUUUUUAACUGUUUACUAAGUAGAAUUUUGAUGUUUUUUAUUUGGGUGAAAUUUGCAGAUUUUCCAACAAUGUACUGGAAUCAACGCGAUUAUGUUCUAUGCACCUGUUCUGUUCAGCACAUUAGGGUUUGGUAGUGACGCUGCUCUUUACUCUGCUGUGGUUACCGGAGCAGUCAAUGUCUUGUCCACUGUAGUCUCAAUCUACUCUGUAGACAAAGUUGGUCGUCGUGUUCUUCUCCUUGAAGCUGGUGUUCAAAUGUUCUUCUCUCAAGUCGUUAUCGCCAUCAUCCUAGGCAUCAAAGUCACAGAUCACUCUACAAAUCUCUCCAAAGGAUUUGCUAUUCUAGUCGUGGUAAUGAUCUGCACUUACGUGGCUGCUUUCGCGUGGUCUUGGGGACCGCUCGGGUGGUUAAUCCCGAGUGAAACAUUCCCUCUGGAGACACGUUCCGCGGGACAAAGUGUGACGGUCUGCGUUAACUUGCUCUUCACGUUUAUCAUAGCUCAAGCUUUCCUCUCGAUGCUUUGCCAUUUCAAGUUUGGGAUAUUCAUCUUCUUCUCGGCUUGGGUUCUGAUCAUGUCUGUGUUUGUGAUGUUUCUACUUCCUGAGACUAAGAAUGUGCCUAUCGAGGAGAUGACUGAGAGAGUGUGGAAGAAGCAUUGGUUUUGGGCUAGAUUCAUGGAUGAUCACCAUGAUCAAGAGUUUGCAAGUGGUGAGAAGACUAAUGGUAAAUCUAAUGGCUUUGAUCCUUCAACACGGCUUUAAUGAGUCAAUAUAACCAAAGUAGAAGCAGAGAAGAGAGUGAACAAGGAAAUAUAUUUGUACUAAGUUUCGAUACUUUUGAACUAUGUUUUGUGAAUAGGUAAAGUCUUGUUUUGGCUUUGUUGUGAUUCCAUUUUCUGACAAAGUGUUCUGUUCUUUCUAUGAGCUAAUGAAGAUGUAUAUUUAAUAAUAGUCCGAAUUUUCAUUAUUCAUAUUACUAAUUAUAAUUCAGAUCUUUAAAUACGCACCACUCAUAUUCACAAAACAAGAGACCUUCUCAUACAUACGCACCACUCACAUUCACAUACAUUGACAACGAUAUGUAAACUAAUGUAGAAAUCUCUAUAAAUAAGAGAGGAGAACCUUAUAAUUUAACAAAACAACAAAUUAUAAUAUUAUCCGAAGAUAAUAUAAUAACAAGAAGAGAAGACUUAUGACUUAUAAAUGACUUAUGUUAAUAGCCAAAUACUAUAUUCAACAAAGAGCCACACAAGGCAGAUGAAGAUAAAUCAGAAACUUCUGUUGACCGAUGACUUAAUGACUCUAGCAUGUGAAAUAGGAUAGACGUGUAAAAUUCUCAUUGGCUACAUACAAUUUCCCACUGUGCUUCACUACUUCGUCUUCUACGAGAAAACGUACAAGUAAACAUCCCAAUGGUCUCUUUUAUUUUUUCUCAACUCUUUGAGAGAAAAUAAAUUUUAAGUUUUAGCAAGUAUGGCCGGAGGAGGAUUUGCGACGGCUUCGGCGAACGGAGUCGAGUUUGAGGCAAAGAUAACUCCUAUAGUUAUCAUCUCUUGCAUCAUGGCUGCUACGGGAGGCCUCAUGUUCGGCUACGACAUUGGUGUCACUGGUAUAUAUAUAUAUAUAUAUUAACAUGUCUCUUAUUGUGUAUUAUCUAUAUACUAGAUAAAAAAACCAUGCGCUAGCUAUGUCACCAAUAUUUAUUGUAAAUAAUUAAUUACUAAUAUAAAAUGCUUUAACAAAAUAAUAUAUACAUUAAAAUACUUUAGAAAAAACGAAAUUUUAUUUAGAUGAUGUCUUAUUCAUCCAAAUUGCGAGAUUUUUCUAUUUACCUGGAAGAAAUAAUAUCGAUAUGGAAGAAUUCUUAAUAUUUUUUCACCCCUUAUUUCCCAUAGCACAAGUGUUUAAGCAUAUAGCUUGGCACAACGUGUUCGUACUACAUUAUGUCACAUAUGUAGACGAUGUUCCUUCUAAUUAGUUCGUUUGAGUUUCGUGAUAAAAACGAAAAAAAAGAAAAAAAAAAUUCAUUUGCUAGUUCGAUCAUCGAUGUUAAAUACAGAAUAAAUAAUCUAAAAAUCUUGGCUUUCAAAGUUUGGCAAUUAGAGAUUUAGGUCUUCCUUGGUUCAAUAAUAUAGUGACAAAAGUAGUCUCAUAGGUUUUAGUUAAACAUGGCUUCUGAAAUAUAUAUAAACAUUAAUUAAGUUCUAACUUGGUUACACGUAGGUGGAGUGACAGCAAUGCCGGACUUUCUCAAAAAGUUUUUUCCGGUGGUUCACCGACGAGUAGAAUCCGGUACAGACAAAAACAAGUACUACUGCAUAUACGACAACCAACGGUUACAACUUUUCAAAUCAUCUCUAUACUUAGCCGGUCUAACCGCGACGUUUUUGGCUUCAUACACGACGAGGAAGCUAGGACGGAGGCCAACGAUGCUAAUAGCUAGUGGAUUCUUCAUCAUCGGUGUGGUUCUUAAUGCUGGGGCUCAAGACAUAGCCAUGCUUAUUGCAGGAAGGAUCUUGCUUGGUUGUGGAAUUGGGUUCGCUAACCAAGCUGUUCCUUUGUUCUUGUCGGAGAUUGCACCAACUAGGAUCCGUGGUGGUCUUAAUAUUCUCUUUCAGCUUAAUAUCACUUUUGGUAUCCUCUUCGCCAAUCUUGUCAACUAUGGAACGGCUAAGUAAUUACUCUUCCCUAAUUAACACUCUUUUUUUUAUAAAUAUUUAUUUGAUAAUAAGAGGAAAAAUGUGUAGAAAUUAAAUUAAAACAAUGGUAAUUUCCAAAAUGAUCCAAAAGAAAAAUCCAAAUAAAUAUAUGGUUGUCAUAAUUUAACAUUUUUUUUGCUUUAACAUGAUUAUAUUGGAAAAUAUCCACUUGAACGUCUCUUUCAUUACUUCACAUAAUUUUGAAUUAUAUAAAAAAGAUGUUCGUUAUAAAUGUACUUUCAAAUUAAUAUUGUGAUCGUUAUUAUCAAAUUUUUGUCUUCCUUGUUUUCUUAAAUUGUAUUUUUAAAUUUUGAAAAAAAAAACAUAUUUCUUCAUAAUUUAAUUACCAAAAAAUGUAACGUUAACUAUAAGUUAAUUUGAAAUGUUUGUAGAAUUAAAGGAUGGGGAUGGAGGCUAUCGUUAGGCAUGGCUGGAGUUCCCGCGCUUCUUCUAACGGUCGGAGCUUUACUGGUGACCGAAACACCGAACAGCUUAGUCGAAAGAGGUCAUCUUGAUGAAGGUAAAGCCGUUCUUCGUAGCAUUCGAGGUACCCAUAAUGUCGAACCAGAGUUUGCCUAUCUACUGGAAGCUAGUAGACUUGCUAGAGAAGUUAAACAUCCUUUCAAAAACCUUCUCCAUCGGAGAAAUCGUCCUCAGCUUGUCGUCACCGUGGCUUUACAGGUCAGUAGUGUUACUUAUCUCUGAUCAUUGAUGAUCCAAAGAGUUAGUUUUUGAUCUAGAUAGUUUAAUUGAAGUGAUUUUGUUUUUUAUUGCUUGGAAUUGGAUUCAGUCUUAGUCGAUUUUAACGGGAUUUGAAGUGAAAACGUUAUAAUUCUCG
rnacentral:lncRNA from 1 species